rnacentral:rRNA from 1 species
CCUACGGGAGGCAGCAGUGGGGAAUAUUGCACAAUGGGGGAAACCCUGAUGCAGCGACGCCGCGUGAGUGAAGAAGUAAUUCGUUAUGUAAAGCUCUAUCAGCAGGGAAGAAAAUGACGGUGCCUGAGUAAGAAGCCGCGGCUAAAUACGUGCCAGCAGCCGCGGUAAUACGUAGGGGGCAAGCGUUAUCCGGAUUUACUGGGUGGAAAGGGAGCGUAGACGGCAGUGCAAGUCUGGAGUGAAAGGCGGGGGCUCAACCCCCGGACUGCUCUGGAAACUGUACGGCUGGAGUGCAGGAGAGGUAAGUGGAAUUCCUAGUGUAGCGGUGAAAUGCGUAGAUAUUAGGAGGAACACCAGUGGCGAAGGCGGCUUACUGGACUGUAACUGACGUUGAGGCUCGAAAGCGUGGGGAGCAAACAGGAUUAGAUACCCUUGUAGUC